AGUCUCACCAUUGCCUAGACUACCACAGGGACCACAGACACAUAACGGUGCCCAGCCAAGACAAGAAGAAACAUCCAGCUGAGUCCAGCCUAAAUUGCUGAUCUGCAGAAUUGAAAACUUGGGAGGAAGACAUACUAUACCACAUGGUCCUUUCCUUUUUCUGUGGAUGGCAAAAAGAUGCAUCACUUCCCGGAGCUUAUGAUAGAAGAUGCUCCUUCGCCAGUGUGAGACACUUAAAAGGACAAUGAUUUGUGCAGGGAACUAACCCUGUGUGCUACGUGUCCUUUUGCUCCAUUUUACUGAUGUGACAAUUGGAGCAGAAUAGUUUAUGUGGCAAAUUUUCCCAGCAUUUAUUUGCACUGCUUACUACAUUCACAUUCUAGUUUACAAAUCUUGACAAAGACAACUGAAUAGGUGUUUUGCAUGAAUGUACUUAUUUUGUAUUGAAGUAUGACACACAUGCAGAGAAGUGACAUUGUCAUAAGCAAAUGGCUUGAUGGCUUUUACAAACUGAAUGUAUGUAUAACCAACAUCGAGAACUAGAAGCAGCUUUUUCAGCCCCUCCUUCCUGAAACUUUUCCUCUCCUUCCACCUUGACCAAGUGUAAUCUCUCUCCUGACCUCUGGCAGAAUAGGUAAUUGUACUAAACUCUUCCACCAUAAUUGUGAUCUCAUCUUGGGAUUUGCCAAAAAACAUUUAUAGCAUGUCUGAGAAGUCCAGAGGAAGUAUAUAUCUCCUCUUUGCUCCAACCUUCUUGUAGCAGGGUUUGAGGGAGAAGGCUGCAAGGAGUCCUGUGGGAGGCCCUGGGGUCUUAUUAGUUGAAGGAAACAAAUCAUCAUACCUUUAAUACUGGCUCCAAUUUGCCCCUUUCAUGAGUAGUCUUGGAGAGAUAAUUGCUAAUCUGGAAUGGACAUACUUCUUGAUCUUGGUUGGCAUUUUUCAAACUGUGAUGAAGACACUUUUUAUAGCCCUGUUCAGAAUACAGAAGGAGACCUACUCUUCUUUGAUCACAAUCUAAAGACAGACAGAGGACAUGUGGAAAGAUCUGUCAUGGAUUAAAUAUAAACAAAAAUGAAGCAAGAAACAAAACUAGUCUUUCAAUGAAAAGCUGAAGAUGCUGAAGAAGAAAUGCAAAAUCAUUUCACAAGAAAAACAAAAUCAGACCAGGAUCACUUGGCGUACCAUCCUAGCAAAAUAUAUCUUCUUGGAGUUGCCCUGA
rnacentral:lncRNA from 1 species